GACAGAGGGGGCAAGCGUUGCUCGGAAUUACUGGGCGUAAAGGGCUCGUAGGCGGCCAACUAAGUCAGACGUGAAAUCCCUCGGCUUAACCGGGGAACUGCGUCUGAUACUGGAUGGCUUGAGUUUGGGAGAGGGAUGCGGAAUUCCAGGUGUAGCGGUGAAAUGCGUAGAUAUCUGGAGGAACACCGGUGGCGAAGGCGGCAUCCUGGACCAACACUGACGCUGAGUGAGCGAAAGCCAGGGGAGCAAACGGG
rnacentral:rRNA from 1 species